GGGGACGAUCGGUUUCGACGUUGGUUGUCAGCUUGAGGGAAGCGGGUCGAGGACGUGAGGUCCGCUCGUAAACGCUCUUCACAAAACAAUAAGUGCUGAACAUAACCGCACUGAUUUCGCCCUCGCUGCCUAAUUUAAGCGAGCUUGCGAAUCCGUCAGCCUAGGGGUUGCUUUCGACCUAGUUUCUGGCGUCGUCUAGGAAGCCACUGGCUACCUUGCAUGUUGUCGGCAAGGUGGCGACUUUUUGGCAACUGGGUCCGUCAAACAUCUGGUUUGCGUGAAUGUUUGGGACCAAGAAAAUCGCUAGCAAACUGCACCCGGAGAAGUCUCAGGGGGCAGCUAACGGACGCGGGUUCGAUUCCCGCCGUCUCCACCA
rnacentral:tmRNA from 1 species